rfam:Xanthomonas oryzae pv. oryzae KACC10331, complete genome.
AUGCACCACGCGUCCACCUCCGUCGCUGUGCGCAGUCCACACCGCCGGACGACAGCCCGCUACGGUCUGUUGGCC